CCUCUCUAACCUAAUAUUCGGCUGGGACUGGGUUUCAUCACACCCUGCAAGAGGCUCCCCACUGCUCCUGCCAACCCUUCCCCAGGAAAUGGCUUUAUUAUUUUAGGAGAGUUUGCAACCUAGAAAUGGGAAACAAGAUAGAAAAACAGAAACCAAAAUCCUGAAAUCUCCACUGACAUGGACACUGAGAUCUUGUCCUCUGGAUGACAUAGCCAUCACCCUCAGGCUAACCUGCCAUCUGUGAUGAGAAGACUCCCUGAUGAAGGUGCGUCUUUCUCUCACCCCUGGCUUGAGUGUGAAUAUGAUUGCCACCAUCUUGGAUCCGAUGGAAGACACAGCACCUUGAGGAAAGUUGAACAAGAGAGAUUGCUGCUACUGUGGAUCUUCAAUGCCAGCUCCUUACUUCUUAUAUUUGGACAGGGACGUGAUUAAAU
rnacentral:lncRNA from 1 species